UCCCUGGUGGCUCAGACGGUAAAGCAUCUGUCUACAACGUGGGAGACCCAGGUUCAAUCCCUGGGUUGGGAA
rfam:TPA: Bos taurus chromosome 7, whole genome shotgun sequence.